GAUCUAUGAUGAAAAAUAGCCAAAUCUGAGCGUCAGAAGGCCCUGUCAUCUGCCUGGCACGUGAUCUUAGACUCUGAGA